CAGACCAAGGACAAGGCUUGAGGCCUUCGCGGGACCCCCAACCACUAUCCAGCAGACGUGCUCGCGCUAUCCUUACUGUAACCACGGAGCCGCGAAUGACUUGAUGUCGUCUUUGGCUGUAGCUGCUUCCCAGCCUCGAGAAAAGAUUCUCGCUAGCAGAGACGGCUCCUCGAAGCGCCAGCAGCUGCGCAAUCGCACCUCAAAUGAGCAAGGCCGUAGCUCUCUUCAUGCCACCGUGACGGCGAUCGCCUCAUCGCCGCGGCCGUCUGAGAUGCCUGCCGCGACCUCGCAACCCGCCUCAGCUAACUCGCGCGCACGCCAAAACUCAAAGAAGGCGCCUCAUCAUGAAUGGAGGAACGCAGGCGCAGCGUCUUCUCGCUCUCACAAAUCGACAAAGACAAAUUCGGUUGCCCGUGGCCGUCAUGGCGCUGCGUCUGCAUUGCCCUCGGCCCGCCGCCACGCCUCCUCUUCCGCCACAGCCUGUGGUGGGCCAGCGAUGCCAACCACCGCUCUGCGACAUUCAGUGCACGCUUCGCGCUCGGUGCGCAGCAUUUCUGAGGAGGUCGCGCUGAAUCGCGUGCAGCGAGCUGCGCGCUGGUUCUUGAUGCACCAGUACCUCCAGCGGACUGUCCCUGUGGUGCCCGUGCUCCUGAGCAUGUCUGGCAACUCGAGCACUGAAGGCGUGCAUGCCGACGCUGCCCCUGUGUUAGAGUCGCGGUUCUUGCGCCGUCUUCGUGCGGAGGUCGACCGCAAAGAGCGGGCUGAGCAACUGCGUAAAGGCACAGCCGCACGGGUCAUACAGCAGGCCCUCCGGCGCUGGUUACAGACGCGCCAGCUUCAUCACCGGCAUCUUUCCAUCCAUAGCAGCGUACGGCCAAGCUACGAGUUCGAUCCCAUUCGCGCCGCCGAGCUGGACGCUGCUCUCUGCUCCAUUCAGGCGUCGCUGCGCAUGUGCGCGAGCAGUCGCCUUGUCGAGGCGCACCGAGUGAAGCUGUUUCAGCAGAUCACCUCUACCGUGCUCGACCCGGCAUGUCCGACAACGUUGCGCUGCACCGCGUCGAUUCGGCACAUUCACGACCGACAACUGCGCGAGGUGCUGUGGCGUCAGGAGGCCGUGGAGCGUCGCGAUCUGCUGCGGCGGCACUUUGUCUUCUUGGUCUGCUGUCACCAGGCCUUCUUUAACGACCCUCGUAUGUGGGAUGCCGGCGUGUCGAUUCGGCGCAUCCCUCUGUACCCGCAUCACGGUCUGUUGUUAACCGAGACGUUGCCCGUGAUCUGGGGUACGAGGACAUCUUCUGCAAGACUGAAUAGCGCCACAGCAGAUUCUGUUGCGCUGCGCGGUGACGCCGUGGCAUCACCGCCGCCACCAGAGUCGUCGCCGUUCUCGGCGACCGCCACCGUCGACGGGUGCAUCAAGGGCUGGGGCUCACCAGCACAACUGGACUCGAGCCUAUUGCAGGCCGUCGGUAGCGGCUGGCUUGUUGGCAAGGAGGAGGAUGGCGGCCGCUUUGACAUCGACGCGGCUCUGCGCCUAGGCGAGUACCGCCUCUUAUUUUCCCCGGAGGAGUGGCGCCUUCUCAAGGAGUUGAAGGCGCCGUCGCUGCACUCUGCCUCGUCCCUCUUCAGCAGCAGCUCCGAUGGGCGACGCGCAGCUCCGGACGCCGCCGGACUGCUGGAGGCUGAGGCGGGUGCGCUUGCCGCGCCUCCAGGCCAGCUGCAGAUGGCGCCGACCGAGGCUGCAGCCAAAGCUGCCUGCUCGCUGAGCUAUGCCAAUGCCUUCGCUUCGGCCUUGACAUUUCUGCGACACCCGCGUAUUGCCGAUCCAAGUGUGCGCUGCACCGUGCAGCAUCUACACGACAUCCGCAGCAGCACCCUGGAAAUGCAACAGGAGCUGCGCGUGCACGGCUUCCUCUUUGCAGCGCAAGUGGCUCCGCUUCUGAACCUCGGGUUCCACUACCAAGGGCUAGCACGAGGGGACGCCGACUUGUCCUGCUUUACCACCACCUCAGCCAUGAAAACGUGCAGACCUCUUGUGGCCGGACGCGUCGCGUGCGCUGCGACCGAGCUGCGUCGAUGCCUUAUUGGAGCGGUACACGACAGCGGCGGUGCGGCGGAAUCAGUGCUGCCUGUGGCGCUGGAGGAGCACAAAUGCAGCCUUAAGGCUGCAGCGCGCACGCCAAGUCAGGUGCUGUCACCAGCGGGUGUUUCGAGGUCAAUGCUGUCACCGCCGCGUGCAGCGCCCUCGGCGGGACUCAUGCGCGACGGCUUCGCGAAUCCUGCAACUGAGGCUCUCUACCAUGCUCCCGCACAGACGACGCGGCGCACUUGUGGCGCUGAUCCUACGUGCGGGUCAUCGCACACGGCUUCACGGCACGGUAGCACGAUAGGCAUUGCCCUCGCUGCGGAGUGGAGUCGGCGGCUGGCCUCCAGCGCAGAUGAGGUCGGCCCCUACUGGUGUGAGUUUCUCUCCUCGACGGGAGUCGAAGCGCUUGUGACCGCUGCUGGCCGGCAGGGCGAGACGCCUGGUGAAGCUGACGCGGCGUACCAGACUGGCGCCUCGUUGCCGUCAUCACCACUGCCGAUGCGGGUGAGACGGGGUCUCGAAUCACACCUUGUUCCUGGCGGCUCGUCCUAUCUCUUGCAGGAUUUCAUGCCAUCGCUAAUGCGACGGCGUGCAUACAGCGGCGCUGGUCCGCAGGCUCUCGAUGCAGCCGCCGGCUCUGUCGGUGUCGCCGUCGCGUGUGCAGGAUCCUCUCCGUCAACUUCGGUGUCUACCUCCACGUGCAGAAUGGUGCAUCCUGGGGAGUGGUGGGAUGCCGCGGAGCGGUUGCUGCUGCGAGAGUACACAAAUCGCAUAGAGCUCUUGACCAACGAGGCUGUGCAGAGAAGCUCCAUCGACGUACUGCGCUGCACGGCUCACCCAUCUGCGGAUGAGUCCGCCGCGGAGGCGUAGAAGACGACGCGCUACAUCCCCCCUCCCCUUCCCCACCCUCAGGCACCGUCCCUCUGCCCCGUAUGCAUUAGUAGCGGGAUCAAAGGGGCGCCGACGGGGAAGCAAAAAGGAACGCAAACAUAUAUACGAUAAGAGCGCAAUCGUCAAUGUACAGCAUCUCUCUUUGUAUGUGUUGUCUCUUUCUCCCCUCCUCCUUGCUCGCUUCCCUUCACCUCUGCGUCCGCACCUCCCGCCAUUGGCUGCAUGGGUAAGCAAGUACCCACCAAUCCACGGAGACCUAGUCACCGGCACAGAGAUCGAGAGGUAGAGGUAGAUAGCGAGAGCGUCCGAUGAAGCGUUGGGGGUCUUCACGAAUUAUACGAUGGCUCACUGAACGCCGUGCGAGUGGCUGUUCUCAAUGUUGGCUUCUAUGGCUGGCAUCACCACCACCC
rnacentral:misc_RNA from 1 species